GGCCCCUCUGUUGACACCCUUUUGCAUUCUCCCAUUAACAUUUUAUUCUGGCGCUGUAACUCUCUGCAGAGUGACUCAAGUUUAUCGCGAACGGCAAUUGCAGCAUCUCUUUCUGCAAGAACUUGUUGAUACUUCAAAGUGAACUCUAGAAACUCCUUUUCUGAUUUAAAUGACCGUUUUGCAUUCUUACGUUUGGCUUCAGUGGUUUCUAGUUUUCUGCCUUUCUGCAAUUCAAUGCCCUCCGAUGAAGAUAUUUCAUUUGCAUCUAUAGCUUGGGUGCCUGAAUCUCCUUUAAUGGAGCUCUCUGAACUUUGACAAUUCCCUUGAACAUGUUCUUUUGCCUCACUGCAUUCAGGUACCCCAAUUGAAUCCUCAUAAACUAAAUUAGCAGAAUUGAGCAUGGCCAUUGUACCUUCUGCCNNNNNNNACAAGGGCCUUAUCAGGCAACUCUUCUGAUUGAUCUGAAGCAUCAAAUCCAUCUAUUUCAGAUAA
rnacentral:misc_RNA from 1 species